rnacentral:rRNA from 1 species
CCUACGGGAGGCAGCAGUGAGGAAUAUUGGUCAAUGGACGAAAGUCUGAACCAGCCAUGCCGCGUGCAGGAUGACGGCCCUACAGGUUGUAAACUGCUUUUAUAAGGGAAUAAACCCCCCGACGUGUCGGGGGCUGAAGGUACCUUACGAAUAAGGAUCGGCUAACUCCGUGCCAGCAGCCGCGGUAAUACGGAGGAUCCAAGCGUUAUCCGGAUUCAUUGGGUUUAAAGGGUCCGCAGGCGGGUUAUUAAGUCAGUGGUGAAAUCCUGCAGCUUAACUGUAGAACUGCCAUUGAUACUGGUAAUCUUGAGUGUGGUUGAAGUGGGCGGAAUGUGUCAUGUAGCGGCGAAAUGCAUAGAUAUGACACAGAACACCGAUUGCGAAGGCAGCUCACUAAGCCAUUACUGACGCUCAGGGACGAAAGCGUGGGGAGCGAACAGGAUUAGAUACCCUGGUAGUCCACGCCGUAAACGAUGAUCACUCGCUGUUGGCGAUACACAGUCAGCGGCCAAGCGAAAGCAUUAAGUGAUCCACCUGGGGAGUACGCCGGCAACGGUGAAACUCAAAGGAAUUGACGG